rnacentral:rRNA from 1 species
UACGGAGGGGGCUAGCCUUGUUCGGAAUUACUGGGCGUAAAGCGCACGUAGGCGGCUUUGUAAGUUAGAGGUGAAAGCCCAGGGCUUAACCCUGGAAUUGCCUUUAAGACUGCAUCGCUAGAAUCGUGGAGAGGUGAGUGGAAUUCCGAGUGUAGAGGUGAAAUUCGUAGAUAUUCGGAAGAACACCAGUGGCGAAGGCGACUCACUGGACACGUAUUGACGCUGAGGUGCGAAAGCGUGGGGAGCAAACAGG